rnacentral:rRNA from 1 species
GACGAACGCUGGCGGCGUGCUUAACACAUGCAAGUCGAACGGUAAGGCCCUUCGGGGUACACGAGUGGCGAACGGAUGAGUAACACGUGGGUGAUCUGCCCUGCACUUCGGGAUAAGCCUGGGAAACUGGGUCUAAUACCGGAUAGGACCCUAGGAUGCCUGUCCUGGGGUGGAAAGCUUUUGCGGUGUGGGAUGGGCCCGCGGCCUAUCAGCUUGUUGGUGGGGUGAUGGCCUACCAAGGCGACGACGGGUAGCCGGCCUGAGAGGGUGACCGGCCACACUGGGACUGAGAUACGGCCCAGACUCCUACGGGAGGCAGCAGUGGGGAAUAUUGCACAAUGGGCGCAAGCCUGAUGCAGCGACGCCGCGUGAGGGAUGACGGCCUUCGGGUUGUAAACCUCUUUCAGCACCGACGAAGCGCAAGUGACGGUAGGUGCAGAAGAAGGACCGGCCAACUACGUGCCAGCCGCCGCCGUAA